ACGUACACUCCUACGGGAGGCAGCAGUGGGGAAUUUUGGACAAUGGGCGAAAGCCUGAUCCAGCCAUGCCGCGUGCAGGAUGAAGGCCUUCGGGUUGUAAACUGCUUUUGUACGGAACGAAACGGCCUUUUCUAAUAAAGAGGGCUAAUGACGGUACCGUAAGAAUAAGCACCGGCUAACUACGUGCCAGCAGCCGCGGUAAUACGUAGGGUGCAAGCGUUAAUCGGAAUUACUGGGCGUAAAGCGUGCGCAGGCGGUUAUGUAAGACAGUUGUGAAAUCCCCGGACUCAACCUGGGAACUGCAUCUGUGACUGCAUAGCUAGAGUACGGUAGAGGGGGAUGGAAUUCCGCGUGUAGCAGUGAAAUGCGUAGAUAUGCGGAGGAACACCGAUGGCGAAGGCAAUCCCCUGGACCUGUACUGACGCUCAUGCACGAAAGCGUGGGGAGCAAACAGGAUUAGAAACCCCAGUAGUCCCAUGA
rnacentral:rRNA from 1 species